AGUGAACGCUGGCGGUAGGCCUAACACAUGCAAGUCGAACGGCAGCACAGGAGAGCUUGCUCUCUGGGUGGCGAGUGGCGGACGGGUGAGGAAUACAUCGGAAUCUACUUUUUCGUGGGGGAUAACGUAGGGAAACUUACGCUAAUACCGCAUACGACCUACGGGUGAAAGCAGGGGACCUUCGGGCCUUGCGCGAUUGAAUGAGCCGAUGUCGGAUUAGCUAGUUGGCGGGGUAAAGGCCCACCAAGGCGACGAUCCGUAGCUGGUCUGAGAGGGUGAACAGCCAAACUGGAACUGAGACACGGUCCAGACUCCUACGGGAGGCAGCAGUGGGGAAUAUUGGACAAUGGGCGCAAGCCUGAUCCAGCCAUACCGCGUGGGUGAAGAAGGCCUUCGGGUUGUAAAGCCCUUUUGUUGGGAAAGAAAUCCAGCUGGCUAAUACCCGGUUGGGAUGACGGUACCCAAAGAAUAAGCACCGGCUAACUUCGUGCCAGCAGCCGCCGCGG
rnacentral:rRNA from 1 species